rnacentral:rRNA from 1 species
ACGGGUGAGUAACACGUGGGUAACCUGCCCUUCAGUGGGGGAUAACAUUCGGAAACGGGUGCUAAUACCGCAUAACUGUUUUUACCGCCUGGUAAAAAUAUAAAAGACGGCUUCGGCUGUCACUGAAGGAUGGACCUGCGGCGUAUUAGCUAGUUGGUGAGGUAAUGGCUCACCAAGGCGAUGAUACGUAGCCGACCUGAGAGGGUGAUCGGCCACAUUGGGACUGAGACACGGCCCAAACUCCUACGGGAGGCAGCAGUAGGGAAUCUUCCGCAAUGGACGAAAGUCUGACGGAGCAACGCCGCGUGAGUGAAGAAGGUUUUCGGAUCGUAAAGCUCUGUUGUUAGAGAAGAACAAGGGUGAGAGUAACUGUUCACCCCUUGACGGUAUCUAACCAGAAAGCCACGGCUAACUACGUGCCAGCAGCCGCGGUAAUACGUAGGUGGCAAGCGUUGUCCGGAUUUAUUGGGCGUAAAGCGAGCGCAGGCGGUUUCUUAAGUCUGAUGUGAAAGCCCCCGGCUCAACCGGGGAGGGUCAUUGGAAACUGGGAGACUUGAGUGCAGAAGAGGAGA